ACGGCAGCACGGGAGCAUCCUGGUGGCGAGUGGCGAACGGGUGAGUAAUAUAUCGGAACGUGCCCAGUCGUGGGGGAUAACGUAGCGAAAGCUACGCUAAUACCGCAUACGAUCUAUGGAUGAAAGCGGGGGAUCGCAAGAGCUCGCGCGAUUGGAGCGGCCGAUAUCAGAUUAGGUUGUUGGUGGGGUAAAAGCCUACCAAGCCUGCGAUCUGUAGCUGGUCUGAGAGGACGACCAGCCACACUGGAACUGAGACACGGUCCAGACUCCUACGGGAGGCAGCAGUGGGGAAUUUUGGACAAUGGGCGCAAGCCUGAUCCAGCAAUGCCGCGUGCAGGAAGAAGGCCUUCGGGUUGUAAACUGCUUUUGUACGGAACGAAAAGGCCCUGGUUAAUACCUGGGGCUCAUGACGGUACCGUAAGAAUAAGCACCGGCUAACUACGUGCCAGCAGCCGCGGUAAUACGUAGGGUGCGAGCGUUAAUCGGAAUUACUG
rnacentral:rRNA from 1 species